rnacentral:rRNA from 1 species
AUUGAACGCUGGCGGCAGGCCUAACACAUGCAAGUCGAGCGGAUGAAGGGAGCUUGCUCCUGGAUUCAGCGGCGGACGGGUGAGUAAUGCCUAGGAAUCUGCCUGGUAGUGGGGGAUAACGUCCGGAAACGGGCGCUAAUACCGCAUACGUCCUGAGGGAGAAAGUGGGGGAUCUUCGGACCUCACGCUAUCAGAUGAGCCUAGGUCGGAUUAGCUAGUUGGUGGGGUAAAGGCCUACCAAGGCGACGAUCCGUAACUGGUCUGAGAGGAUGAUCAGUCACACUGGAACUGAGACACGGUCCAGGCUCCUACGGGAGGCAGCAGUGGGGAAUAUUGGACAAUGGGCGAAAGCCUGAUCCAGCCAUGCCGCGUGUGUGAAGAAGGUCUUCGGAUUGUAAAGCACUUUAAGUUGGGAGGAAGGGCAGUAAGUUAAUACCUUGCUGUUUUGACGUUACCAACACAAUAAGCACCGGCUAACUUCGUG